GAUGAACGCUGGCGGCGUGCCUAAUACAUGCAAGUCGAGCGAACGGACGAGAAGCUUGCUUCUCUGAUGUUAGCGGCGGACGGGUGAGUAACACGUGGAUAACCUACCUAUAAGACUGGGAUAACUUCGGGAAACCGUAGCUAAUACCGGAUAAUAUUUUGAACCGCAUGGUUCAAAAGUGAAAGACGGUCUUGCUGUCACUUAUAGAUGGAUCCGCGCUGCAUUAGCUAGUUGGUAAGGUAACGGCUUACCAAGGCAACGAUGCAUAGCCGACCUGAGAGGGUGAUCGGCCACACUGGAACUGAGACACGGUCCAGACUCCUACGGGAAGCAGCAGUAGGGAAUCUUCCGCAAUGGGCGAAAGCCUGACGGAGCAACACCGCGUGAGUGAUGAAGGUCUUCGGAUCGUAAAACUCUGUUAUUAGGGAAGAACAUAUGUGUAAGUAACUGUGCACAUCUUGACGGUACCUAAACAGAAAGCCACGGCUAACUACGUG
rnacentral:rRNA from 1 species